rnacentral:rRNA from 1 species
GUGGAUUAGAUACCCUGGUAGUCCUAGCCGUAAACGGUGCAUGUUUGCUGUAAAAGGAAUCGACCCCUUUUGUGGCGGAGCCAACGCGUUAAACAUGCCGCCUGGGAAGUACGGUCGCAAGAUUAAAACUCAAAGAAAUUGACGGGGGCCUGCACAAGCGGUGGAGUAUGUGGCUCAAUUCGAUGCAACGCGAAGAACCUUACCUGGCCUUGACAUGUACGUAGUAGAAGGGUGAAAGCCUGACGAGUUCGCAAGAACAGCGUACACAGGUGCUGCACGGCCGUCGUCAGCU